rnacentral:lncRNA from 1 species
GUGGAAGAUCCACGGGGAAAGGCAUUGUUGAAUUUGCUUCGAAGCCAGCAGCAAGAAAAGCAUUUGAAAGAUGCAGUGAAGGUGUUUUCCUACUGACAACGACUCCUCGCCCAGUCAUUGUGGAACCACUUGAGCAGUUAGAUGAUGGGAAGCGACAUGGUAAGAAUGAUUGAUGUUGGCUGACUUUGGAAUCUUUCUUACUUGAAGUGGAAUUAGAUGUUCUCAAGACAUACAACAUGGGCCAUCCAAGAAGGAAAGCCACAAAUUGCUUAGAUUGACAGACUCUUGGAUCAAGUGAGCUGUACCAGAAAAUGAGUCAAGACCAAAGAGGAAUGAACUUGACAUUAAUAAAGAUACAUUAUUUU